rnacentral:rRNA from 1 species
AUGAACGCUAGCUACAGGCUUAACACAUGCAAGUCGAGGGGCAGCAUUUCAGUUUGCUUGCAAACUGGAGAUGGCGACCGGCGCACGGGUGAGUAACACGUAUCCAACCUGCCGAUAACUCGGGGAUAGCCUUUCGAAAGAAAGAUUAAUACCCGAUGGUAUAAUCAGACCGCAUGGUCUUGUUAUUAAAGAAUUUCGGUUAUCGAUGGGGAUGCGUUCCAUUAGGCAGUUGGUGAGGUAGCGGCUCACCAAACCUUCGAUGGAUAGGGGUUCUGAGAGGAAGGUCCCCCACAUUGGAACUGAGACACGGUCCAAACUCCUACGGGAGGCAGCAGUGAGGAAUAUUGGUCAAUGGGCGCAGGCCUGAACCAGCCAAGUAGCGUGAAGGAUGACUGCCCUAUGGGUUGUAAACUUCUUUUAUAUGGGAAUAAAGUUUUCCACGUGUGGAAUUUUGUAUGUACCAUAUGAAUAAGGAUCGGCUAACUCCGUGCCAGCAGCCGCGGUAAUACGGAGGAUCCGAGCGUUAUCCGGAUUUAUUGGGUUUAAAGGGAGCGUAGGUGGACAGUUAAGUCAGUUGUGAAAGUUUGCGGCUCAACCGUAAAAUUGCAGUUGAUACUGGCUGUCUUGAGUACAGUAGAGGUGGGCGGAAUUCGUGGUGUAGCGGUGAAAUGCUUAGAUAUCACGAAGAACUCCGAUUGCGAAGGCAGCUCACUGGACUGCAACUGACACUGAUGCUCGAAAGUGUGGGUAUCAAACAGGAUUAGAUACCCUGGUAGUCCACACAGUAAACGAUGAAUACUCGCUGUUUGCGAUAUACAGUAAGCGGCCAAGCGAAAGCAUUAAGUAUUCCACCUGGGGAGUACGCCGGCAACGGUGAAACUCAAAGGAAUUGACGGGGGCCCGCACAAGCGGAGGAACAUGUGGUUUAAUUCGAUGAUACGCGAGGAACCUUACCCGGGCUUAAAUUGCAUUUGAAUAUAUUGGAAACAGUAUAGCCGUAAGGCAAAUGUGAAGGUGCUGCAUGGUUGUCGUCAGCUCGUGCCGUGAGGUGUCGGCUUAAGUGCCAUAACGAGCGCAACCCUUAUCUUUAGUUACUAACAGGUCAUGCUGAGGACUCUAGAGAGACUGCCGUCGUAAGAUGUGAGGAAGGUGGGGAUGACGUCAAAUCAGCACGGCCCUUACGUCCGGGGCUACACACGUGUUACAAUGGGGGGUACAGAAGGCAGCUACCUGGUGACAGGAUGCUAAUCCCAAAAGCCUCUCUCAGUUCGGAUCGAAGUCUGCAACCCGACUUCGUGAAGCUGGAUCCGCUAGUAAUCGCGCAUCAGCCAUGGCGCGGUGAAUACGUUCCCGGGCCUUGUACACACCGCCCGUCAAGCCAUGAAAGCCGGGGGUACCUGAAGUACGUAACCGCAAGGAGCGUCCUAGGGUAAAACUGGUAAUUGGGGCU